GAUGAACGCUGGCGGCGUGCUUAACACAUGCAAGUCGAACGAAGCACUUAAGAUUGAUUCUUCGGAUGACGUCUUUUGUGACUUAGUGGCGGACGGGUGAGUAACGCGUGGGUAACCUGCCUCACACAGGGGGAUAACAGUUAGAAAUGACUGCUAAUACCGCAUAACCCGAUAGGAUCGCAUGAUCCAGACGGAAAAGAUUUAUCGGUGUGAGAUGGACCCGCGUCUGAUUAGCUAGUUGGUGAGGUAACGGCCCACCAAGGCGACGAUCAGUAGCCGGGCUGAGAGGGUGAACGGCCACAUUGGGACUGAGACACGGCCCAAACUCCUACGGGAGGCAGCAGUGGGGAAUAUUGCACAAUGGGGGAAACCCUGAUGCAGCGACGCCGCGUGAGUGAAGAAGUAGUUCGGUAUGUAAAGCUCUAUCAGCAGGGAAGAAAAUGACGGUACCUGACUAAGAAGCCCCGGCUAACUACGUG
rnacentral:rRNA from 1 species